rnacentral:rRNA from 1 species
CCUACGGGAGGCAGCAGUGGGGGAUAUUGCACAAUGGGGGAAACCCUGAUGCAGCGACGCCGCGUGUGGGAAGACGGUCCUCUGGAUUGUAAACCACUGUCCCCAGGGACGAAAAUGACGGUACUUGGGGAGGAAGCUCCGGCGAACUACGUGCCAGCAGCCGCGGUAAUACGUUGGGAGCGAGCGUUGCCCGGAAUUACUGGGUGAAAGGGGAGCGUAGGCGGGGAUGCAAGUUGGGUGUCAAAACUACCGGCUCAACUGGGAGUCGCACUCAAAACUGCAGCUCUUGAGUGAAGUAGAGGCAGGCGGAAUUCCUAGUGUAGCGGUGAAAUGCGUAGAUAUUAGGAGGAACACCAGUGGCGAAGGCGGCCUGCUGGGCUUUUACUGACGCUGAGGCUCGAAAGUGUGGGGAGCAAACAGGAUUAGAUACCCGGGUAGUC